UGGAGUUCUGUGGCCAGAGACAAGGACGCGGGUGGGAGUCGGGGGGUGAGGAGGCCAUGGGGAGAGAGGGGACGUGAUGGAAAGAAGAGGGGGAGGAUAAGAGAGUGUAGGAGGAGGAGGGAGAUAGGGAUGAAGAUGAGGUAAGGGGGUUGGGAGAGGGAGGGGACAGGUGUAAGUACCGGGUUGGACAAACCCAGAGUACCCACCCUCUGCCCCAGAACUGCACCCCCAUCCCUCCCCACUCCCACACACAGACUGCCCGGAGGGUGGGGCCACAGCUUUGGGCCUAGCCUUUCCCUGGGGGCAUGGCCAACCCUGUGGGCUACUCUGAGCCUGCGGGGGGCCUGCAGCAGGGAGCAGGACCCCGUCUCCCCAGCUCAGCCAAGCCCCACGCGGGGCUAACCAGGCUGCCAGGGCCCCCAGCAGAUUACGUAAGGGCUUAUGCCGCCGCGGCUCAUUUGUCCGCCCCCCUCCCUCCCCAGCCUGGCGUGGCGCCAGGAGCCCGAAAACCCAGGGCUCCAGAAAUCAAUCUCGCGGUGACUGAUUAAGCCCUGUUUAGAACUAAUUGCUCUUUCGUGUGUGGGGAGAAUAAAUUACCUGCUUUAAUUUCGUGUCUUUAAAAUGCAACUGCAGGUAGAGAAGACUGUUAACCCUUUGCUGGGAGGGCCUGGCCAGGGGAAACAGAGUAGGCUGGGGGUCCCCAAGGUGGGUCCAGGCCUGAGACUUUUCGGAGGUAUCACCCCAACUCCUCUUAGCUGCUGUGAACUCCACAGAGGGUUUGGAUUCCAGCAGGCCCCUCAAAAGACAUCCUUUUGCCACAGAGACCUCAGCCUUCACCCUCUUCAGUGCCCACCUUCAGGCCAGCCCAGCUCUCCUGCCUGCCCUUUGGGCUGCACCCUGCCCUCCUCUCCUGACCCACCUGCCUGCCCUCCAAGCCCCUUCCUGUUGGAGCCUUCUCAAAAUCCCCACAGUGUGUGGCAAAGUCCCCAUUCACACGCCAGAAGACCUAGGCUCAGAGAGAGGAAUGGCUUGCCCAAGGUGGCCUUUUCUGCUGUCCCUCGGUUCCUCCCUGGGCUUCACCUCUGCCAUCUCUCCAUACAUCCUCUUUUUAAUUCUGCUGUGCCAGUCUCCAGUGCUCCCCAUGUCACUGCCUGCUUUUGCCAGGCCUGUUCUGAGGACAGAGGAAGGCAGGAAGUCCACUGGCCCCACUGGAAUCUGGAGUAGAACUUCUGCUGGGCCUGCCGCACCCCACCUCUGGGGCCUCCCACCUGGUGGCCUCAACUUCCUGGUCCAGGGUUUCACUCUAGCCCAGACUGGAGUACAGUGGCACGAUCUCGGCUCACUGCAACCUCCACCUCCCAGGCUCAAGUGAUUCUCCUGCCUCAGCCUCCCAAGUAGCUGGAAUUACAGCAGGACACCCUCAUUUAUCCUCUGAGUCGGACACUCUCCUUCCUCCUGUGGUGUGGCUGUGUUCUCUGACGGAGCAAAAGCCGACUGAUCCAGCAGGACGCCAUCUCUACUACAACUUCAUUCUCCGACAGCUCAACCUCAUCUAAUCUUAUGCCUCCAGCCAGGGCCUGCCAGAUCUCCGGGAGCCAAAGGAGAGUGUAGAGAAAAGAGAGGUCCCUCAUUUGCUGUCCCCCACCCACAAGGGCUGCCUGGUGCUAUAACCAUCCAAUUUCUCCAGGCCCAGAAGGGGCCAUGGACUUUGAGUUCUAGGCUGCUUGGCCAAGCCAGAACUCCACUAUUGCCCUGCCUCCUGUUCUGUCCCCACCAUGGCUACAGAGGGCCCACAGGAUGGAUUCUGGGACAUGGACUCAUGGUUGCUGUACCAUCUUCUUAUUUAUUUUUAGCCAGAGAGGAGGAUUUCUUAUGUUGCCCACGUUGGUCUCAAACUCCUGACCUCAAGUGAUCUUCCUGCCUCAGCCUCCCAAAGUGCUGGGAUUACAGGUGUGAGCCAACUUGCCUGGCCAUCUCUGUGCCAUCUUCUUCUGAUCCUGGGCAGUGGGACUAGGGGAAGUUACCUUUUCUGGGGCACAUUUAGUGGUGUGCUGGCAAAUGUUUAACCACCAGCUCUUCUGGAAGUUAAAAAAAAAAACCUACCUGAUUUGAUUUGUAGCUGUUGCUGCUUUCUGUGGUAUGGAUACUCACAUCAUAGCCAAUUUUAAACUGCCACAUGACGUCACCGAGUGCAGAAUUGGGAAGAAGUGUGCACGAUCAGCCCUCAUGAGCCAGUGCAAACCAGCUCUCGCACACCACUGGCAUGUGCUUCAAAUGCUGAAACCAGAGAAGGGCACCACCUACUACAUGCCUAACAUAGGCUAGGCUCCUUUAAUCCUGAUAACCAUCCUGUGAGUAGGUACUGCGAUUUUACAAAGGGGGCAAACUGAAGCUCAGGUGGGAUAAAUGACUCCUGAGGCCACAAAGCUGGGAAAUGACGGAGCCAGGCUUGGGUCUUAGGGCUGCUGGAUUCCAAAGCCAGAGCUCUUCCCACACCUACCCCUAAUGUGGCAGGGGACACUCUGCUGUCCACCCCAGUGGCCAUCUCCACCUUGAUGCUCAAGCCCAAGCUCUCCUAGCUUUCAUCAGAGACAGGAGACAAGGACUGUGCCCCCACCUACCACCAACCCUGUGCUACCUCCUGGCCUCCCUGGUACCUGGGGUCUUUCAGGAUCCAAGUGCGGCCCUGCAUCUUGUGUCCACCCAUCGCAGCCCAAGCCCAAGGUCAGGUGUGGAUGCCUGUCCAGGUUGCAUCACAGUCAAAGGCUCAGCCCAGCCCCUCCCUCAGGAGACUGACCCUGACUACCUGAUGGGGAAAAUGACCCAGCACCUGUUACUGCAGUGACCUCCUGUGGGGCUGUGGUGAGGGCUCUGAUCCCCUCUAUGAUUCCCAUUUCCUCCUUCCCUCCUGGCCUUCCUUCCUGCAUACGGAGAGGUCAAAGACAGGGGACUGAAUCCCAACUUCAUCCAUGUGACAGUGGGCCUCCACUAUAACGAAGAUAACAAUCCCAGCAUCCACAGGGACAUAUGGGACCUGGAUGAGACCUCACAUGUCAAGAAUGUCAUCUCAUCCCUGUCUCAGAGCCCCAGGAGCCUCCCCAUCCUACCCCUUGCCCCCACCCAACUCUGGGGCCCCAGCCUGGCCUAGGAACACACACC